UUAGCUUCUCAGCCUUCUGCCUAAGAUCGUGUACUAUCUGUUCUUAUCAGCUUAAUAUCUGAUAUGUCUUCUAUUUGAGGACUAUAUAUUAAAUGGAUUUUUGGAACUGGGUAAUAUUGAGAGCCAGUUAGGUGUAGUGGUUAAGUAUGUGGACUCUUAUCUGGGAGAACCAGAUUUGAUUCCCUACUCC